rnacentral:rRNA from 1 species
AUGGAGCCACAUAUCUUUCGGGCUUUGGCAUCUUAUCUUAGAAGACAAAAUCUGAUAUCCGAUACAAGAAUUAAGGUGGAGGAGAAGUUAGCCUUAUUCCUGUACAUGGUGUCUCACAACACAUCUUAUGAAGAUAUCCAGCUAGACUUUCAGCAUAGUAGACAAACAUUUCAUGAGUACAUCAAUGAGUUCUUUAACAUCGUCCCCAUCUUAGCUAGUCGAUUUCUGAAGCCUCCAAACAUUGAUGAGCCACGUCCAAAAAUCUUCACCAACACAAGAUUCUAUCCUUACUUCCAGGUUUCCAUUUUUAACGUUUCCACAAUUCCUUUUCUUAUCUAA